CUACAAUCCUGGACAUAAAUUAUUGGCAAAAGGGUAAAAAAUAAGAAAAUUCAUCGAAUUUCAGCUCCCCUUCCCCUAAUAUCAAUGUUGAUGGGUGUAUUCGAGGCCAGAUAACUUGGCCAAACAUUGAUAUUGGGGGAAGGGGGCAUCAUUGGGACAAACAUGUCUUAAAAUUAUAUUUUGAAGUAAUAAACUAGUUUUUGCCACUUUUUUGUCCAGGAUUCUA